rnacentral:sRNA from 1 species
CAUUUGACAGUUGUGGCACUUCUUCGCCAACGGCAACCUAGGGUAAACAUUUUGUGGCAACAACCACCACCAUUACGAAUCAUUAAUAAAACAUCUGCGACAGUGUGUUUGUAAGUUCUUGCAACGAACGGACAGAGACAUAGGUUGACUUCUAUGCCGAAAAUAAAUUAUAAAAGUCAUGUGUAAAAGGCUAACAAUUUCUACGUUACUCAAGGAAGGUUCGUUCUUCAUUCAUAAAAUACGACACAAUAUAGCCGGAGUGAAAAAACAAUGACGCUGAGGCCUUGCUUUCUCUGCUAACGGACAGACUGCGGCGGUCGACGUCCGUCAUGUUUCGGACGACGUUUCAACAAACUUAGCGAUACUUUUCUUCUGCGGACAAAUUUAUACGAUUUUGGUGUUUUUUCUGGUGUUUGGUUUUUUAAAGCUACAUAAUAAUUGUUAUGCUAAUCAAAAGGAAAAAAUAAAAGUAAUAAAAGAAUUUCGAAAAAAUUUAUUUGAAAAUAUGGAAAAAUUUUGCUUAGUAAAUAUGGUAGGUUUUUGUAAAUUGAACAAGUGCCUCGUAACGAGUGAAUGGAAAUAAGUCAAAUAAUACAGAUGUGUGUAUAUGCAAGAUACACCAAGCAAGCGAAAAACAUUGAGCAAAUAAAACCGAAAAUUGUGUGUAUGAAAAAAAUAUUUGUAAAGUGAUGUCAUUUGUUGUUAUUUGUGAAUAUUAAACAACAUAUUUGUUCUCGACAACACAGUGUGAGUGAAUUGACCAGUAGUCAAUUAUUGCCCAGCCCGGUCGACAGAAGAACCAUAAGUGGAAAAAGAUUGGUAGCACAUUUAUAAGCAAUUUAUCACAAUACCUUAAUAAAACAUCUUGGGAUACCCCACGACAAUUGGACGCCAAGACAAAAAAAAUCCGGUUUUAGAAAAAAAAUUAUAAACGGGGCACAGAGACCUUCUUGGAAUUUACCGCAGGAGAAGGAAAGGAAAAUAAGUUAAGUGGUGCAGUGUAUUGCUUCAGGAAGUGUUUCAAAGUCAUGUGCUUAAUUUGAUCGUCCUUCGGCAACAGCCUUAACACAUAAAAAAAUUAACGAAGUCAAGUGGGUACUCAAUGGAGUUGCUGUAAGUCAUCUGCCCACGAAACUGUGUCUUAAAAAGUGUCAAUUUACAAUUCCCCGAAAUCCUACAUUGUAAUAUUCAUCAAAGAAAUCAUCGCUGGUUGAUGAACCUUUUUUUGAAUUAAGAAUGCAAACAUAUGUGACCCAUAUAUAACAGAGCUCUACACAUGCUGGUUAGUGUACAUUCAGAUGUACACUUUAUACAGUAGCAAAUAAAACAAACUCACCACGUAUGGAUAGUACUGAGAAUUAAGCUAAAGUGACUGUGUGUUCGUAUAUUCGUUCAUUGAUAUUUAUGCCAGAGUGUAUUACAAUUUCCGUCCAUUAAGUGAGUGAAGUGUAAUGAAGUGAAAAAUUGUGAACCACUGUGUCCAUGUCGAAUGAAUAGCGACCGAGUGACCCAGCGCCCAAGCGAAUGAAUGUGUGAUUGAUCAUCGUUUGUAGCAUUCAGAGAGCGAUUGUAAACACUGCAACCACUAUUCAAAGUGCAUAAAAAACGAAAAAUCGGCGACCAUAAAACUUGGCAUCACCAUCAUCAUCCUCACAUUAUGGUGCUGUUGUAGUCAUUUGAAAAUUUUGUUACACUUUUUACGGUCAUGGUGCCGUUUUUACUGCCGAGACACCAACGAAUUGUUCACCCUUUAAAUGGAUUACAACAACUACACAAUCUUCAAAAGCACCUCCGAUAACAGAAGCAACACUAUUGAAUCAUAGGAGAAAUUCUUUGAUUCUAUUUCUGAAUUACGAUAUAAAGUUAUUGCCUGUUUGCUGUUCCAAACCGGAAGAGUACAACAACCAAAAAACGACAACGACAACAACAUUUCGGGUUCAAGUUCCAGUUUCGAAAAUUUGUUAUUGUUUUUUGCUCGCCUGUUUUCAAAAGAUUAGAACCGUUCUUAUGUACGGCUAUUUGCAAGAAAGCCGUCAUCAUCAUCAUCAACACCACGACCAUUCACAUUGGCUUCACCAGUAUUUCGACUUCAGACCCAACUCUUCACCCGACUGCCCGAAUCGUCGACAGUAAAACAUAAAAAUGUAUUCUGCCGGUAAUUAAUCCAUGAAUUAUAAAUUU